rnacentral:lncRNA from 1 species
GCUUGUUGAGUAUUAUUCUUUCAGUCAUAGCUAUAUUCGUCUUAAGAUGAAGCAUCCUUCUUGUGGCUAUAUUCAUUUUGGGAUGAAGUGCCUUCGAAAAAUUUAUCGUAGCUAUAUUCAUCUUAAGACGAAGCAUCAUUCUCGUGGCCAUAUUUAUUUUGGAACGAAGCACCUUCGAGGAACUUAUCGUGGCUAUAUUCAUCUUGGGAUGAAGUUUUUUUCUCAUGGCUAUAUUCAUCUUGGGAU